UAGUGGGGCUGCCGUGUUGUGGGGGUGGGGAAAGAAGAGUUGAAGACUUCCUGGGAGGAGGGCCUGGGUAGUGGGAAGGAACCUGGUCAACUGACAGUGGAGGACAUCAGAGACCCCUAAACUCAUUGUCUCCCAAGCCUCUGGGAGUCCUGGGGAGAGUGGGGCUGUCCCUGUUGGGGGCAAUGAUUUUUGUGGGAGAGAAAGCUUGAAGACAUCUUGGGAGAGCCUGGGUACUGGGAAUGGGGCUGGUCAACUGAGGGUGGAACACAUUGGAGACCCCAAAACUCUCUCUUUCCAGGUUCUGGAAGUAUUGGGUUCAGAGUGGGGCUAUCCCUGUUGGGGGGCAGAGAUUGGUGGGGAAGAAUUCUUGAAGAUUUUCUGGAUAGCAGGAAGGGGGCUGGUCAACUGAAGGUGGUGGAGCACAUCAGAGUCCCCUAAAGCCAUUGUCUUCCAAGGUUCUAGAAGGGUUUGGUUUAGGGUGGGGCUGUCACUGUUGGGAGAGGUAGUGAUUCAGAGAGGGGGGAAGGUUUUCAUUCUUCCUGGAAGGGCCUGGGUAGGGGGAAUGGGGCUGAUCAGCUGCUGGUGGAGUACAUGGAAGUCCCCUAAACCUAUUGUCUUCCAAGGUUCUGGAAGAAAUGGGUUUGGGAGUUGGGCUGUCUCAGUUUGGGGGGAGAGAUUUUGGGGUGAAAGGCUUGAAGACUUCCUGAGAGGAAUUAGGUAGCGGGGCGAGGCCUAGUCAACUGAAAAUGAAGCACAUUGGAGACCCCCAAAACUCUUUCCAGGUUCUGGAAGAAUUGGGUAUGUGUGGGGCUAUCCCAGUUGUGGGGAGAGAUUCUGGAGGAGAAAGAAGGCUUGAAGACUUCCUGGGAGGGACUGGGUAGUCUAGGUUCUGGAAGAGACUGGAUUUAGAGGGGGCUGGUCAGCUAAGAAUGGAGCACAUCAGAGACCCCAAAACACUUUUGUCUUUCAAACUUCAAGAAAAUUAGGGAUGAUAGUGGGGCUGUGCCUGUUGGGGGGAGAGAUUUGGAGGGGGAGAAGAAGGUUUGAAGACUUCCCAGGAUUUCCUGGGUAGCAGGAAGGGGGCCUGGUCAACUGAGGGUGGAGCACAUCAGAGUCCCUUAAACUCAUUGUCUUCCAAGCUUCUGGAAGAACUGGGUUUGCGUGGGGCUGUCCCUGUUGGGGGAAGAUACUUUGGGGGGAAAAAAGGCUUGAGGACUUCCUGGGAAGGUCUGGGUAGCUGGAAGGGGCCUGGUCAACUAAGGGUGGAACACAUUGGAGACCCCAAAACUCUUUGUCUUCCAAGCUUCAGGGAAAUAUAGGGUUAAGAAUGGGGCUAUUCCUGUUGGGGGAGAGAUUUUUUUUUGGGGGGGAGAAGGCUUUCAGAUUUCCUGGGAGGGCCUGGAUAGCGGUAAGGGGCCCAGUCAACUGAGGGUGAAGCACAUGGAGACUCCUAAACCCAUUGUCUUCCAAGGUUCUGGAAGAAAUGUGUUGGGAGUGGGGCUGUCCCUGUUGGGGGGAAGAUAUUUUGGGGGAGAAGGAAGGCUUGAAGACUUUCUGGGAGGGCCUGGGUAGUGGGAAGGGGGCUGGUCAACUGAGGGUGGAGCACAUCGGAGACCCCUAAAACCAUUGUCUUCAAAGGUUCUGGAAGGGUUGGGUUUAGAGUGGGACUGCCCCUGUUCGGGGGGGAAGAGAUUGGGGGGGGGGGAGAAGGCUUGAAGACUUCCUGGGAGGCCCUUGGUCACCAUAAGGUGGCUGUUCAACUGAAGGUAGAGCACAUCAGAGACCCCAAAACUCAUUGCUUUUUAAAAUUCAGGAAAUGUAGGGUUGAUAGUGGGACUGUCCCUGUUGGAGGAAGAUAUUUCUUGGGGGUGAGAAGGCUGGAACACUUCCUGAGAGGGCCUGGCUAGUAGGAAUGGGACUGUUCAACUGACCAUGGACCAUAUCUGAGACCCCAAAAGUCUUUGUCUUUUCAGGUUCUUGAAGGACUUAGAUUUAGAGUUGGGCAGUUCCUGUUACAGGGGAAAGAUUUUGGGGGGAGAGAGGGCUUGAAGACUUCCUGGGAGGGCCUGGUGGCAGGAAAGGGGCUGGUCAACUGACAGUGGAGGACAUUGAAGACCCCUGAACUCACUGUCUUCCAAGCUUCAAGAAAUGUAGGGCUAAGAGAGUUGCUGUUCCUGUUGGGGGGAAGAAGAGUUAAAGCCUUCCUGGAAGGGCCUGGGUACAGGGAAGGGCAACAAGGUGGAGCACAUCGGAGACCCCUAAACUCAUUGUCUUCCAAGCUUCAGGAAAGGUUCUUGAAGGACUUAGAUUUAGAGUGGGGCUGUUCCUGUUGGGGGGGAGAGAUUUUGGGGGAGAAAAGGCUUGAAGACUUCCUGGGAGGACCUGGUAGCAGGAAAGGGGCUGGUCAACUGACGGCGGAGGACAUCGAAGACCCCUAAAAUCAUUGUCUUCCAAGAUUCAAGAAAUACAGGGUUAAGAGUGUUGCUGUUCCUGUUGGGAGGAGAGAAUUGGGGGGUAAGAAGGGUUAAAGCCUUCCUAGAAGGGCCUGGGUACAGGGAAGGGGGCUGGUCAACUGAGGGUGGAGCAUAUCAGAAUCCCUAAAACUCUGUCUUCAAAGGUUCUGGAAGGGUUGGGUUUAGAGUGGGGCUGUUUCUGUUGGGGGGAGAGAUUUUUAGGGGAGAAGGCUUGAAGACUUCCUGGGAAGGCCUGGAUGGCAGGAAGGAGGCUGGUCAGCUGAGAAUGGAGCACAUCAGAGACCCCAAAACACUUUUGUCUUUCAAACUUCAAGAAACUUAGGGAUGACAGUGGGGCUGCCCCUGUUGGGGGAGAGAUUUUGGGGGGGAGAAAAGGCUUGAAGACUUCCUGGGAAGGUCUGGAUAGCUUGAAGAGACCUGGUCAACUGAGGGUGUAGCACAUCUGAGACCCCUAAACUCAGUCUUCCUCAGUAAUGAAGGACUGGGGUUAGAAUGGGACUGUCCCUGUUGGGAGACAGGAACUGGGCAUGUAGAAGGCUUGAAGACUUCCUGGGAGGCCCUUGGUAGUUGUAAGGGGGCUGGUCAACUGAGGGUGACAUACAUCAGAGUCCCCUAAACUCAUUGCCUUCCAAACUUCAUGAAACUUAGGGUUGAUAGUGGGGCUGUUCCUGUUGGGGGGAGA